rnacentral:tRNA from 1 species
GCCCGGAUGGUGGAAUCGGUAGACACAAGGGAUUUAAAAUCCCCUCGGCGUUCGCGCUGUGCGGGUUCAAGUCCCGCUCCGGGUACCA